AUACUUACCUGGCAGGGGAGAUACCAUGAUCACGAAGGUGGUUUUCCCAGGGCGAGGCUCAUCCAUUGCACUCCGGAUGUGCUGACCCCUGCGAUUUCCCCAAAUGUGGGAAACUCGACUGCAUAAUUUGUGGUAGUGGGGACUGCGUUCGCGCUCUCCCCUG
rnacentral:snRNA from 2 species